rnacentral:rRNA from 1 species
GUGGGGAAUCUUGCGCAAUGGGCGAAAGCCUGACGCAGCCAUGCCGCGUGAAUGAUGAAGGUCUUAGGAUUGUAAAAUUCUUUCACCGGGGACGAUAAUGACGGUACCCGGAGAAGAAGCCCCGGCUAACUUCGUGCCAGCAGCCGCGGUAAUACGAAGGGGGCUAGCGUUGCUCGGAAUUACUGGGCGUAAAGGGCGCGUAGGCGGACAGUUUAGUCAGAGGUGAAAGCCCAGGGCUCAACCUUGGAAUUGCCUUUGAUCCUGGCUGGCUUGAGUACGGGAGAGGUGAGUGGAACUCCGAGUGUAGAGGUGAAAUUCGUAGAUAUUCGGAAGAACACCAGUGGCGAAGGCGACUCACUGGCCCGUUACUGACGCUGAGGCGCGAAAGCGUGGGGAGCAAACAGGAUUAGAUACCCCGGUAGUCC